GGUCGAGCGGACAGAAGUGGAGCUUGAGUCCCGGAUGUUAGCGGCGGACGCCCUGAGUAACACGUGGGUAACCUGCCUGUAAGACUGGGAUAACUCCGGGAAACCGGAGCUAAUACCGGAUAGUUCCUUGAACCGCAUGGUUCAAGGAUGAAAGACGGUUUCGGCUGUCACUUACAGAUGGACCCGCGGCGCAUUAGCUAGUUGGUGAGGUAACGGCUCACCAAGGCGACGAUGCGUAGCCGACCUGAGAGGGUGAUCGGCCACACUGGGACUGAGACACGGCCCAGACUCCUACGGGAGGCAGCAGUAGGGAAUCUUCCGCAAUGGACGAAAGUCUGACGGAGCAACGCCGCGUGAGUGAUGAAGGUUUUCGGAUCGUAAAGCUCUGUUGUUAGGGAAGAACAAGUGCAAGAGUAACUGCUUGCACCUUGACGGUACCUAACCAGAAAGCCACGGCUAACUACGUGCCAGCAGCCGCGGUAAUACGUAGGUGGCAAGCGUUGUCCGGAAUUAUUGGGCGUAAAGGGCUCGCAGGCGGUUUCUUAAGUCUGAUGUGAAAGCCCCCGGCUCAACCGGGGAGGGUCAUUGGAAACUGGGAAACUUGAGUGCAGAAGAGGAGAGUGGAAUUCCACGUGUAGCGGUGAAAUGCGUAGAGAUGUGGAGGAACACCAGUGGCGAAGGCGACUCUCUGGUCUGUAACUGACGCUGAGGAGCGAAAGCGUGGGGAGCGAACAGGAUUAGAUACCCUGGUAGUCCACGCCGUAAACGAUGAGUGCUAAGUGUUAGGGGGUUUCCGCCCCUUAGUGCUGCAGCUAACGCAUUAAGCACUCCGCCUGGGGAGUACGGUCGCAAGACUGAAACUCAAAGGAAUUGACGGGGGCCCGCACAAGCGGUGGAGCAUGUGGUUUAAUUCGAAGCAACGCGAAGAACCUUACCAGGUCUUGACAUCCUCUGACAACCCUAGAGAUAGGGCUUUCCCUUCGGGGACAGAGUGACAGGUGGUGCAUGGUUGUCGUCAGCUCGUGUCGUGAGAUGUUGGGGUUAAGUCCCGCAACGAGCGCAACCCUUGAUCUAGUUGCCAGCAUUCAGUUGGGCACUCUAGUGACUGCGGUGACAAACCGGAGAGGUGGGGAUG
rnacentral:rRNA from 1 species